CGCAAAGCAAAAUUAUAUUUGUAAUACAAGUGAGAUAUAUUCGAAAUAAUAUAGUAAAAGAAAAAAGUCAUAGCGAACAAACAGAAAAUGUUAAACGCAAAGUCGAACACUUAAUGUUCGAAAAGCCUGUCAUCAAUAAAUAAAUAAUGCUUAAUGUAAUAAAAGUAACAGAUCCAAAUAAGAAUCCUGUCCUCAACUCCGACGGAGCAAACAAGAAUCUGGUCCUGAACUCGUAAAUAAUAAACUCUGCACGGAAAAAUAACUUGUCCAAGCUUGUAGAAGCUAAAAAGCUAGAACAAGGAGGGCUCUGGUACUGUAGUCUGUAUCUAAUGAAUUAGAAUUGUAACUAUAAAUUAAAAUUUUCUACUUGGCGGAGCCAUUGGUUAAUCCAGUAGAUGGGUUGAGCUCGUCCCACUCU
rnacentral:lncRNA from 1 species